rnacentral:tRNA from 1 species
AGAAUUAUUAUCAUUUACUACAAAAGCUCGAAUAAUUGCUAAUUUCUUCGAUAUAAAUUUCA